rnacentral:rRNA from 1 species
UACAGAGGGUGCGAGCGUUAAUCGGAAUUACUGGGCGUAAAGCGCACGUAGGCGGCUUUGCAAGUCGGGUGUGAAAUCCCCAGGCUUAACCUGGGAACUGCAUUCGAGACUGCAUUGCUAGAGUAUGGGAGAGGGAAGUGGAAUUUCCGGUGUAGCGGUGAAAUGCGUAGAUACUCGGAAGGAACAUCAGUGGCGAAAGCGACUUCCUGGACCAAUACUGACGCUCAUGUGCGAAAGCGUGGGGAGCAAACAGG